rnacentral:rRNA from 1 species
GAUGAACGCUGGCGGCGUGCCUAAUACAUGCAAGUCGAACGCAUUGAGAGAAGUGCUUGCACUUUUCAAUUUGAGUGGCGAACGGGUGAGUAACACGUGGGCAACCUACCUGAUAGCGGGGGAUAACGAGUGGAAACAUUCGCUAAUACCGCAUAACAAUAGAGAAGGCAUCUUCUUUAUUUAAAAGGCGCUUUCAAGCGUCACUAUCAGAUGGGCCCGCGGUGCAUUAGUUAGUUGGUGGGGUGAAGGCCGACCAAGACGAUGAUGCAUAGCCGGAUGGAGAGACUUGUCGGCCACAUUGGGACUGAGAAACGGCCCAAACUCCUACGGGAGGCUGCAGUAGGGAAUCUUCCACAAUGGACGAAAGUCUGAUGGAGCAACGCCGCGUGUGUGAUGAAGGCUUUCGGGUCGUAAAGCACUGUUGUAUGGGAAGAAAUGCUAGGCUAGGAAAUGAGCUUAGUUUGACGGUACCAUACCAGAAAGGGACGGCUAAAUACGUGCCAGCCGCCGCUAGUAA